AUAGGAGUGAGAGUGGCGAACGGGUGAGUAACACGUGGGUAAUCUGCCUUACGGAUGGGGAUAACGGCCCGAAAGGGUCGCUAAUACCGAAUGCGUUCCAUGGGACGAUGGUUCUGUGGAAGAAAGAUGGGGAUCGCAAGACCUAUCACCGUAAGAUGAGCCUGCGGCCCAUUAGCUAGUUGGCGGGGUAACGGCCCACCAAGGCGACGAUGGGUAGCCGGCCUGAGAGGGUGUACGGCCACAUUGGGACUGAGAUACGGCCCAGACUCCUACGGGAGGCAGCAGUUAAGAAUCUUGGACAAUGGACGAAAGUCUGAUCCAGCGACGCCGCGUGAACGAUGAAGGUCUUCGGAUUGUAAAGUUCGGUAAGAUGGGACGAAAAAGCGCAAGGUAAUAUUUUGCGUAUUGACGGUACCAUCCUAAAGCCUCGGCUAAAUACGUGCCAGCAGCCGCGGUAAUACGUAUGAGGCAAGCGUUGUUCGGAAUUAUUGGGCGUAAAGGGCAUCUAGGCGGGAUGUUAAGUCAGGUGUGAAAGCCAAGGGCUCAACCCU
rnacentral:rRNA from 1 species